rnacentral:lncRNA from 1 species
AAAAUUGGGCAAAUUCCGGAACCCUGGAGCUGAGCCCGGUUUAAUGGGACAGAAAUGAUUUGGGGACAUCGUUGGGACAUCAUUGGGACAUCGUUGGGACAUCGUUGGGACAUCAUUGGGGACAUCGUUGGGACAUCAUUGGGGACAUUGUUGGGGACAUCGUUGGGACAUCGUUGGGACAUUGUUGGGGACAUCGUUGGGACAUCGUUGGGGACAUCGUUGGGACAUCACUGGGACAUCAUUGGGGACAUCGUUGGGGACAUCUUUGGGGACAUCGUUGGGACAUUGUUGGGGACAUCAUUGGGGACAUCGUUGGGACAUCGUUGGGACAUCGUUGGGGACAUCAUUGGGACAUUGUUGGGACAUCGUUGGGACAUCGUUGGGGACAUCGUUGGGACAUCGUUGGGGACAUUGUUGGGGACAUCGUUGGGACAUCGUUGGGGACAUCAUUGGGGACAUCGUUGGGGACAUUGUUGGGACAUCAUUGGGGACAUUGAUGGGACAUCGUUGGGGACAUCGUUGGGGACAUCGUUGGGGACAUCAUUGGGCCCCACGUUCAGCAAUAAUCAGAGAAAUCCUCGUCAACGUAAUUGGCGGGAAACCAACCGACCUGGGGACAGACGGACACGGUCAGGGGACACUGUGGGGACAUCUGGGGGGACAGGGGGACAUGGGGGAGGAAGGGGACAGGCUCAGGGGUGUCCCCAAUGUCCCCAAUAUCCCCAGUGUUCCCCAUGUCCCCAAUGUCCCCAAUGUCCCCAAUGUCCCCAAUGUCCCCAAUGUCCCCAGUGUCCCCAAUGUCCCCCAAUGUCCCCAAUGUCCCCCAGUGUCCCCAUUGUCCCCAAUGUCUCCAAUGUCCCCAAUGUCCCCAUUGUCCUCAGUGUCCCCAAUGUCCCCUAAUGUCCCCAUUGUCCCCAUUGUCCCCAAUGUCCCCA